UACGUAGGGGGCUAGCGUUGUCCGGAUUUAUUGGGCGUAAAGAGCGUGUAGGCGGCCAUGUAGGUCCGGUGUGAAAACUCGAGGCUUAACCUCGAGAUGUCAUCGGAAACCAUUUGGCUAGAGUCCGGAAGAGGAGAGUGGAAUUCCUGGUCGUAGCGGUGAAAUGCGCAGAUAUCAGGAAGAACACCAAUGGCGAAAGCAGCUCUCUGGGACGGUACUGACGCUGAGACGCGAAAGCGUGGGGAGCGAACAGG
rnacentral:rRNA from 1 species